UGGGGAAUUUUGGACAAUGGGCGAAAGCCUGAUCCAGCAAUGCCGCGUGUGUGAAGAAGGCCUUCGGGUUGUAAAGCACUUUUGUCCGGAAAGAAAUCCUUGGCUCUAAUACAGUCGGGGAUGACGGUACCGGAAGAAUAAGCACCGGCUAACUACGUGCCAGCAGCCGCGGUAAUACGUAGGGUGCAAGCGUUAAUCGGAAUUACUGGGCGUAAAGCGUGCGCAGGCGGUUUGCUAAGACCGAUGUGAAGUCCCCGGGCUCAACCUGGGAACUGCAUUGGUGACUGGCAGGCUAGAGUAUGGCAGAGGGGGGUAGAAUUCCACGUGUAGCAGUGAAAUGCGUAGAGAUGUGGAGGAAUACCGAUGGCGAAGGCAGCCCCCUGGGCCAAUACUGACGCUCAUGCACGAAAGCGUGGGGAGCAAACAGGAUUAGAUACCCUGGUAGUCCACGCCCUAAACGAUGUCAACUAGUUGUUGGGGAUUCAUUCCUUAGUAACGUAGCUAACGCGUGAAGUUGACCGCCUGGGGAGUACGGUCGCAAGAUUAAAACUUAAAUGAAUUGACGGGGUCAUAGCUG
rnacentral:rRNA from 1 species